AAAGAAAUUACAAAGUUAAGUAGUGUAAGAUACAAUUUUCAAUAAUCUUUGAAAGAUAUAUUCAACAUUGACAUUUUAGACAAAUCCGAUCAUUUUUCAUUUCCAAGGUUCAGAUGAUUUGAGAUAGACGGCAUGUAUUGGUGAACUUAUUUUACCUAAGGCGGGAUAUUUUAUUUAACGCAAAAAUCUUAGACAAAUCCAAGUCGAAUAGAGAGAAUUAAAUUAGCAGUCACUUAGCAGUGUUAUUUGCACUAAGCCAAUUUAUGAAAGCUCCCAUGUUAUGUCAAGAUUAAUAACAACAAACUAAUAUUUUCCCACUCAUUACUUAAAUAAGAAAAGAGAAGAUAAGGAAAAUGAAGACAACUUGUCACAAUGGCC
rnacentral:lncRNA from 1 species